CGGGAUGUAGUAUAGCGGUAGUAUUCACGAUUCGGGUUCGUGAGACGGGAGUUCGAAUCUCCCCAUCCCGACCA
rnacentral:tRNA from 1 species